GAUGAACGCUGGCGGCGUGCUUAACACAUGCAAGUCGAACGAAGCACUUUAUUUGAUUUCCUUCGGGACUGAUUAUUUUGUGACUGAGUGGCGGACGGGUGAGUAACGCGUGGGUAACCUGCCUUGUACAGGGGGAUAACAGUUGGAAACGGCUGCUAAUACCGCAUAAGCGCACAGCAUCGCAUGAUGCAGUGUGAAAAACUCCGGUGGUAUAAGAUGGACCCGCGUUGGAUUAGCUAGUUGGUGAGGUAACGGCCCACCAAGGCGACGAUCCAUAGCCGACCGGGGAGGGGGACCGGCCACAUUGGGACUGAGACACGGCCCAAACUCCUACGGGAGGCAGCAGUGGGGAAUAUUGCACAAUGGGCGAAAGCCUGAUGCAGCGACGCCGCGUGAGCGAAGAAGUAUUUCGGUAUGUAAAGCUCUAUCAGCAGGGAAGAUAAUGACGGUACCUGACUAAGAAGCACCGGCUAACUACGUG
rnacentral:rRNA from 1 species